rnacentral:rRNA from 1 species
UACGAAGGGGGCGAGCGUUGUUCGGAUUUACUGGGCGUAAAGGGCGCGCAGGCGGCAGAUCAAGUCAGGCGUGAAAGCCCCGGGCUUAACCUGGGAACUGCGUCUGGGACUGGUUUGCUAGAGAUCGGGAGAGGAGAGUGGAAUUCCCAGUGUAGAGGUGAAAUUCGUAGAUAUCGGGAAGAACACCCGUGGCGAAGGCGGCUCUCUGGGACGGUACUGACGCUGAGACGCGAAAGCGUGGGGAGCGAACAGG